UCUGACACAGGUGCUGCAUGGCUGUCGUCAGCUCGUGCCGUGAGGUGUUGGGUUAAGUCCCGCAACGAGCGCAACCCCCGCCGUUAGUUGCCAGCGGUUCGGCCGGGCACUCUAACGGGACUGCCCGCGAAAGCGGGAGGAAGGAGGGGACGACGUCUGGUCAGCAUGGCCCUUACGGCCUGGGCGACACACGUGCUACAAUGCCCACUACAAAGCGAUGCCACCCGGCAACGGGGAGCUAAUCGCAAAAAGGUGGGCCCAGUUCGGAUUGGGUCUGCAACCCGACCCCAUGAAGCCGGAAUCGCUAGUAAUCGCGGAUCAGCCAUGCCGCGGUGAAUACGUUCCCGGGCCUU
rnacentral:rRNA from 1 species